UAAAGUUUUAUUUUAGCUAUUGAUUUUGAUUGAAUUUUGUUGUUCAUGUAAAAGUUAAAUUUAAUAAAAAUUUAAAUAAUUUUUUUAUAUUUUGCAGUAUAUAGAUUUAUAAAUUUUUGAAAGGAAGAUUUUGUAAUAAUUCUUAGUAUUAACUUAAUUUGUGCCAGCAGUUGCGGUUAUACAGAUAAUACAAUUAAUUUAUAUUAGUUAAUAAUUAAUAGAUAUAUUUAAAAUUAAGAUUAAAUUUAUUAGGUAAAAUUUUAAGUUUAAUUAAAUUUUUAUUUAUGGAUAUGAUAUUUAUUAAAUUUAGAUUUAAACUAGGAUUAGAUACCCUAUUAUUAUAAACGUAAAAUUUAUACUAAAUUAUUAGUAGUUAUUGUCUUGAAAAUUAAAAAAUUUGGCGGUAUUUUAGUCUAUUCAGAGGAACCUGUUCUGUAAUUGAUAUUCCACGAUUUAUUUUACUUUAUAUAUGUUUGUAUAUCGUCGUAGUCUGAGUAUUUUAUAAGAAUUUAAAUAUUCAAUUUUUUAUAUAAAAAUAUAAAUCAGAUCAAGGUGCAGCUUUUUAAAGAAGUAAUGGGUUACAAUAAAUUUAUUUUAAUGGUUUAAUAAAUUAAAUUUUAUUAAUAAAUUGGAUUUGGAAGUAAUAAUGUUAAAUUAAAUAUUAUGAUUAAGCUCUAAAAUAUGCACAUAUCGCCCGUCGCUCUCAUCUAAAUUGAGAUAAGUCGUAACAAAGUAGAUGUACUGGAAAGUGUAUCUAGAAAGCAA
rnacentral:ncRNA from 1 species